AAUGUGUGUGGUGGGGAAGGACAGACAGGUAGCAGGUGGGGCAGGAAGAGCAGUGGUGCAUGAGGCCCUAUAGCUAGCUGAAGGAAGAGACUGGGCCUUGAGUAGAUGGGACUUCCACUACAAGAAGGGAGCAAAGCUGGGCUAACUCCUCCCUUGACCUGGUCUUCCUGGCCCCACAAAGCAGCUGCUAGGAACAAACAGUGUGAGGAUGUGGGGAAGGGAGGGCAAAUCUCUCCUUCCCAGUCAUGGCAGCAGGAUUGUAUGCUGGGUUCCAAAGCUCUAGGUCACCCAGGUGCUCACUAUCCACCAUACCACCAUCGACUAUAUGUAUUUCAAUGUUCUUUGUCCCCCUGUUUACGUCCCUCCCUUCCUCAGUAGAGAAGAGACUGAGCACCAGGAAACUGUCGUCCAUAUGGCCCAUCCGUUCAUGGCCCAGGAAUGUCAUAUAUGCAUGUGAAAUGAGGGGUUGGUAUCUACUCAUGGGUCUCCUCUCCUGGGGACCCACCAUAUUGGUGCCAGACUUAACAGCUCUACUCUGGGCAGGAUUUCUGAGUUCAAGAGAUUCACUAGCCUCAGCCUACCUUUCAGCAGGGAUCACAGUACCACCACACUGGACUCCUCUAAAACCAUCUUUGAUGAUCCUGAGGCAGCUCCCAUUUCUGUCCCUCCUUUGAUAAACUCCUGCACCUCUCCCUCCAACCUCUUUAUACCUC